CGUCGGGCGGGCCCAGGCAGGAGCCGGCCUCCCUUCUCACUCACUUGACAGCAGCAGAGCGACCGAGGCCGGAGCGUAGGGGAAAGAAAAGGGGAAAAAAAAAAAGAAAAACCCGCGUUGGGCCGCGCGUAAGAGCUGCUCGUGGCCAUGGUGGAAUCCGGACGGAGCCUCCUCCGGUGGUAAGAGGAGGAAGUCCCCUUUCUGUUGUUGAAGCUGUUUCUGCCUCUGUUACUUCAUCACAACAGAGACAAAAAGUUUCCCUGCAUAAGAUAAGUGGACACAAUGGUGGAUUACUACGAAGCGCUGGGGGUGCCCCGCAAUGCCUCUCCAGACGACAUAAAAAAGGCGUACAGAAAGAAAGCCCUGCAAUGGCACCCAGAUAAAAACCCAGAUAACAAGGAACAUGCUGAGCAGAAGUUUAAGGAGAUAGCAGAGGCCUACGAGGUUCUGUCUGACAAGAGCAAGCGCGAAGUCUACGACCGAUACGGCAAAGAAGGGCUCAUUGGUGCAGCUGGUUCUGCUGGUUCCAGGGCUCAUCCAGGACCGGAAUUCACUUUCACUUUCCGUAGCGCCCAUGAUGUCUUUCGAGAGUUUUUUGGAGGGCGAGAUCCAUUUGCUGACUUUUUUGAUGACCCAUUUGCAGACUUACGUGGACCUGUACCCCGGCAUCCUGCAGCAGGGCCUUUCUUCUCCCCUUUUCCAGCCUCAUCGGAGUUCUUCGCAACUUCGCUUGGUCCGGGGCUCAAUGCAGGGAUGGGCUUCCGCUCUGUCUCCACUUCAACAAGGUUCAUCAACGGCAAGCGCAUCACUACCAAGAGGAUCAUUGAAAAUGGACAAGAGAAGGUAGAAGUGGAAGAAGAUGGAGAGCUGAAAUCCAUCCAGAUUAAUGGCAUCCCAGAUGACUUGGCAUUAGGCUUGGAACUAAGCCGGCGUGAGCAGCAAGCCCUACCGAACCGUGGGCCGCCAGCAUCUCCUCCGGUGACAUCACCUCAACGCCCAGCGCCCAAACGCCCAUCCCCGAGCUCCUCCCCAGUGAUCCUGUACACAGACAGCGAUGAAGAGGAUGAGGAUCUUCAGCUUGCUAUGGCCUACAGCCUUUCUGAGAUGGAGGCCAAGAGCCAGCACAGAGCAGGCCCUGGAAAAGGCUUCGGUGGAUGCUUGAUGUAGGAAUGUAACUUGUUGGUGCCCUCUUUCUUUCUCUACUGUCGCCGCCGCUUGUCUGCUCACCUGCCCAUCCCUCCCUUCCGUGCUUCCCAUGCCACAGACCCUGAAGGACAGGCAUAUUCUGUCUGACACCCCUCCAUGCUGCCUCCCUGCAGGUGUGUUCUGAGUCUGGAAGAGCCAUGGGGAUUGCCUUUCCAGCAUUCGUUCUCGUUGAAGGCUGCUCAGGCCUGGACUUCACUUUCUGUUCUCUCCCUGAACCUGCGGGGGGGACUGGCAAGUGCAGAGUGUUUUUAUUUCCCCUUCAUUCUUUCUGCUGCGUAGCAUGUAGCACUCACUGGCUCAGGCAGGCUACAGCCUGUUUGACGUAGAAGUAGCUAUCUUGCUGCUCCAUAGAGCCAAGGCCUUUUAUACUUGUGAGCACUCUUCACUGGUGCUCAUUGCCCUCUUAAGAGAGCCUGGCUGAAGAGUGGGGGGUAGUCUUGAAUGGUCUAUCCAGAGAGGCAGUGGUGGGUCAAGAAAGCCAGAAUCUCCUCAUCGGCAUGGGCUGCAGCAGCAUCUUCAGCUGCCCAGGGACACAUGGAUCUCAAGACAAACACCAUUUGUGUUUGGAGAGUCAUAUGAAUGGGAACAAAGAAAGUUUUGUUCAAGCACCAGGGUAGACUCUCAUGUUGUGCAAAAGGCAGCCUUGGCACCUUCCCCCACCCCGCAAUCAUAUACAGAACGAUAUCUGAACUCCCAGAAUUCCUAGCUAGCACAAUGGCCCUGCUAUGAAGAGAAUUGUGGGAGUUGCAGUCCCAGCACAUGGCAAGGCUGCUCUAAAGCCAGGGGCUGGACAUCAAGUUUCUCCCUUAGAGCAGCAAGGACUCUUCCAGACCAGUCACUGCAAAGAGAGUAAGUUGGACUCUCUUGGUAGCAAGGAGAGGGCUAGGUCUGUGGCUCAUCCUGCCCCCCCCCCACCUCUGACCCUUCUAGCAAAAUUCUCUUGAAAUAAUGACUACAGAUAAUACAACCCCAUUCAACAUGUCUGUAACUUGGAGUGGAUCUGGUCUCUUUUGUAAUGCAGAGUGCUGGCCUGGUAUAAAAAUGGAAGACAUUUAUCAAUAAACUUAUUUGCAAUUAA